rnacentral:rRNA from 1 species
ACUCCUACGGGAGGCAGCAGUGAGGAAUAUUGGUCAAUGGUCGCAAGACUGAACCAGCCAUGCCGCGUGCAGGAAGACGGUCCUAUGGAUUGUAAACUGCUUUUAUACAGGAAGAAACCCUCCCACGUGUGGGAGCUUGACGGUACUGUAGGAAUAAGGAUCGGCUAACUCCGUGCCAGCAGCCGCGGUAAUACGGAGGAUCCAAGCGUUAUCCGGAAUCAGUUGGGUUUAAAGGGUCCGUAGGCGGCCUUAUAAGUCAGUGGUGAAAGCCCAUCGCUCAACGAUGGAACUGCCAUUGAUACUGUAAGGCUUGAAUUAUUGUGAAGUAACUAGAAUAUGUAGUGUAGCGGUGAAAUGCUUAGAUAUUACAUGGAAUACCAAUUGCGAAGGCAGGUUACUAACAAUGGAUUGACGCUGAUGGACGAAAGCGUGGGAGCGAACAGGAUUAGAUACCCCUGGUAGGAUAGCG